GACGUAGGGUGCAAGCGUUGUCCGGAUUUACUGGGCGUAAAGAGCGCGUAGGCGGUCUGUUAAGUGUGAAGUGAAAUCUCCAGGGCUCAACCCGGAAACUGCUUCGCAUACUGGCAGGCUGGAGGAACGGAGAGGUGAGUGGAAUUCCUGGUGUACCGGUGAAAUGCGCAGAUAUCAGGAGGAACACCGGUGGCGAAGGCGGCAUCCUGGACCGACAUUGACGCUGAGGAGCGAAAGCUAGGGGAGCAAACGGG
rnacentral:rRNA from 1 species